AAGCCCUGAGGUGUUAGACACGUUCGACUGCAAAUCUUAAGUAGCAGGGUAAAAUCUGCCAGGGCU
rnacentral:tRNA from 1 species